rnacentral:rRNA from 1 species
CCCUUAGAUGUUCUGGGCCGCACGCGCGCUACACUGACGAAUGCAACGAGCUUAUAACCUUGGCCGAAAGGUCUGGGUAAUCUCCAAAUUUCGUCGUGAUGGGGAUAGAUUAUUGCAAUUAUUAAUCUUCAACGAGGAAUGCCUAGUAAGCGCAAGUCAUCAGCUUGCGUUGAUUACGUCCCUGCCCUUUGUACACACCGCCCGUCGCUCCUACCGAUUGAAUGGUCCGGUGAAGCGUUCGGACCGUGGCCUUUGGACGGUUCGCCGUCUGUUGGCUGCGGGAAGUUCGUUAAACCUUAUCAUUUAGAGGAACGAGAAGUCGUAACA